AUUGAACGCUGGCGGCAGGCCUAACACAUGCAAGUCGAACGGUAACAGGAAGCAGCUUGCUGCUUCGCUGACGAGUGGCGGACGGGUGAGUAAUGUCUGGGAAACUGCCUGAUGGAGGGGGAUAACUACUGGAAACGGUAGCUAAUACCGCAUAACGUCGCAAGACCAAAGAGGGGGACCUUAGGGCCUCUUGCCAUCGGAUGUGCCCAGAUGGGAUUAGCUAGUAGGUGGGGUAACGGCUCACCUAGGCGACGAUCCCUAGCUGGUCUGAGAGGAUGACCAGCCACACUGGAACUGAGACACGGUCCAGACUCCUACGGGAGGCAGCAGUGGGGAAUAUUGCACAAUGGGCGCAAGCCUGAUGCAGCCAUGCCGCGUGUAUGAAGAAGGCCUUCGGGUUGCAAAGUACUUUCAGCGGGGAGGAAGGGAGUAAAGUUAAUACCUUGGCUCAUUGACGUUACCCGCAGAAGAAGCACCGGCUAACUCCGUG
rnacentral:rRNA from 1 species